GAUGAACGCUGGCGGCGUGCCUAAUACAUGCAAGUCAAGCGAACAGAUGAGGAGCUUGCUCCUCUGACGUUAGCGGCGGACGGGUGAGUAACACGUGGAUAACCUACCUAUAAGACUGGGAUAACUUCGGGAAACCGGAGCUAAUACCGGAUAAUAUAUUGAACCGCAUGGUUCAAUAGUGAAAGACGGUUUUGCUUUCACUUAUAGAUGGAUCCGCGCCGCAUUAGCUAGUUGGUAAGGUAACGGCUUACCAAGGCAACGAUGCGUAGCCGACCUGAGAGGGUGAUCGGCCACACUGGAACUGAGACACGGUCCAGACUCCUACGGGAGGCAGCAGUAGGGAAUCUUCCGCAAUGGGCGAAAGCCUGACGGAGCAACGCCGCGUGAGUGAUGAAGGUCUUCGGAUCGUAAAACUCUGUUAUUAGGGAAGAACAAAUGUGUAAGUAACUAUGCACGUCUUGACGGUACCUAAUCAGAAAGCCACGGCUAACUACGUG
rnacentral:rRNA from 1 species